AUGUCCUUGUUCAUGUACGAGAGAUUAUUCGUUCAUCGCCGUCUGCCCGAUCAUCACUUCUCCACUCUCAUCCCGCAGCUUUCCUCUUUUCAUCUGUGCGUCCGUGUAAAAUGGAAAUCUGAAGUGCUCCACUUUCGCAGUUUCUCACCUUUCAAAGAAAAAGCUGCAGGGCGGCCCUCGUGGCCGGGAUGCCACUGUGUACCCUGCCAGUCGGCGGUGGAUCCUGAGGGGCAGGAGCUGCCCACCCAGUGCAGGGGGCAGAGGAACAAGCACCCUGACCUCGACAUGAAUCUCUGCUGGAACGAGAUUAAACGCAAAUCCCACAACAUCAGGGUACGGCUGGAGGCCUUUUCGGACAACAGCGGGAAGCUCCAGCUGUCCCUGCAGGAGAUCAUCGAAUGGCUGACAGCUAAAGACGAGGAGCUGUCCGAGCAGCUGCCCAUAGGUGGUGAUGUGGGAGCGGUGCAGCACCAGCGGGAGUUCCACCAGGCUUUCAUGGAAGAUGUCAAAUCCAGAGGGCCCUACAUCUACUCGGUGUUGGAAUCAGCUCAGACCUUCCUUUCACAACACCCCUUCCAGGAGCCUGAGGAGACAUUGCCUGAUGGCAAAGAAGGCUCUCCUCGCCGGCGAAUGCUGAAUGUAAGUCGCUCCGUAUGGAAGCAGGCCAAUGUGGCCAGUGACCUGUGGGAGAAGUUGACAGCGCGCUGCGUGGACCGACACCGGCACAUGGAGCGAACCCUGGAGAGGCUGCUGCAGAUCCAGGCCGCCAUGGAGGAGCUGGCUGUGGCUCUGGAGCAGGCGGAGGGAGUAAGGGACGCCUGGGAGCCUGUGGGAGACCUGUUUAUUGAUUCGCUGCAGGACCAUAUAGACGCUACCAAGCUAUUUAAAGAAGAGCUGACCCAGGUGAAGGAAGGAAUGAAACACAUAAAUGACCUGGCCCACCAGCUGGCCAUAUCCGAUGUGCACUUGUCCAUGGAGAACGCCAGAGCUCUGGAGCACCUCAACAACAGAUGGAAACUUCUGCAGGUAGGGUCUAUUGAAGAACGUCUGAAACAGUUGCAAGAUGCCCACAGAGAUUUUGGCCCCGGAUCACAGCACUUUCUUUCCAGUAAGUGUGGUAACUCACUUGAAGCCGUAGAGUCUUCUGCCGGAGUCCAUCAGGCUCAGACAACCUGCUGGGACCAUCCAAAGAUGACUGAAUUAUACCAAGCUCUGGCGGACCUGAACAAUAUCAAGUUCUCUGCAUACCGGACUGCCAUGAAGCUGAGGCAUGUGCAGAAGGCUUUAAGAUUGGACCUGCUGAAGUUAAGCAGCGUGGUGGACGUGUUUCGAGAACAGGAGCUGCAGCAUGCCGAGCAUGUGAUGGAUGUGGUGGAGGUCAUUCACGCUCUCACUUCCCUGUAUGAGAAACUAGAGGAGGAGAGGUCCAUCCUGAUCAAUAUCCCCCUGUGCGUCGACAUGUGUCUCAACUGGCUGCUGAAUGUUUACGACAGUGGUCGUAAUGGUAAGAUGCGAGUGCUCUCCUUCAAGACGGGCCUGGUUAUUCUAUGCAGUGCAGACAUCCAGGAAAAGUAUAAAUACCUUUUCAGACAGGUGUGUGGUCCAGGUGGACUGACAGAUCAGAAACAUCUCAGCCUGUUACUGCAUGAGGCUAUUCAGAUCCCUCGGCAGCUCGGGGAAGUGGCGGCGUUUGGAGGAAGCAACGUGGAGCCCAGUGUCCGCAGCUGCUUUCGAAUGGCUCCAGGUAAGUCAGCUAUCGAGGUGUCUCACUUUCUGGAGUGGAUGAGCCUAGAGCCUCAGUCUGUGGUGUGGCUUCCUGUUCUACACCGGGUAACUGUGGCAGAGACAGCCAAGCACCAGGCACGCUGCUACAUCUGUAAGCAGUGCCCUAUCAAGGGCUUCAGAUACCGAAGUCUGAAACAGUUCAAUGUGGACAUCUGCCAGAUGUGUUUUCUGACGGGCCGGACUACCAAGGGCAAGAAACUACACUACCCCAUCAUGGAGUACUACACCCCGACGACCUCAGGCGAGAAGAUGCGGGACUUCGCAAAGACGCUAAAGAACAAGUUCCGCUCGAAGCAGUAUUUUAGUAAACACCCUCAGAGGGGAUACCUGCCCGUUCAAUCAGUACUGGAGGUGGAGAGCUCUGAGACGCCCUGCUCAUCUCCCAGGCUGCCUCAUGCGGACACACACAGCCGGAUCGAGCAUUUUGCCAGCAGGUUGGCAGAAAUGGAGAACCAGAGCUGCUCCUUUUUCACCGACAGUCUCUCUCCAGAUGAAAGUUUGGAUGAAGAUCAGUACCUCCUACGUCACUCCAGCCCCGCCCUCGAGCAGGACUCCCCCCACGGCCACCUGCUGGCCCACCUGGACUGCCAGGACAGAGAAGAGCUGCAGCGCACCCUCCAACGCCUGGAGAACGAGAACAGGGUGCUGCAGGGCGAGUAUCGGCGGCUGAAGUGGAAGCAUGAAGAGGCAGCAUCUUCACCUCAGCUGCUGGAAUCGGGUCCCGGUUCACCGGCCGGUCAGCAGGACGAGGAGCUCCUAGCCGAGGCUCGAGUCCUUCGACAGCACAAGACCCGCCUGGAGACGCGCAUGCAGAUUCUAGAGGACCACAACAAGCAACUGGAGUCCCAACUACACAGACUCAGAGAACUACUGCUGCAGCCCAAAGACGACUCAGAGGCCAAUGGCUCAGAUCCUUCUUCUCUAUCGUCGCCUGUGUCAGGGGGUGGCCAGCAGGGGGAGCCUCCCAGUAGAGAGACCACAGACACAGAAGCUGCAGGUACACCCGGAAUAACCUUGCAGCUUUGCUGUCAUCCUGCCAACAUGGACCCAUAA
rnacentral:lncRNA from 1 species